GUCAAAGACUCUGCUUCUGUAGGAAUUCUUCCCCGAUCAUCCCAGGGCUCACACAGUCGACAAAAGAAAACAUUUAUCUUGGGAGAUGGGCAGAAGCUGAAGGACUGGCAUGACAAGGAGGCCAUCUGGAGGGAUGCUCAGCGCAUAGGAAAUGGAGAACAAGGAAGACCUUACCCCAUGACCGAUGCUGAGAGAGUGGAUCAGGCAUACCGAGAAAAUGGAUUUAACAUCUACGUCAGUGAUAAAAUCUCCUUGAAUCGCUCUCUCCCAGAUAUCCGGCACCCAAACUGCAACAGCAAGCGCUACCUGGAGACACUUCCCAACACAAGUAUCAUCAUCCCCUUCCACAACGAGGGCUGGUCCUCCCUCCUCCGCACCGUCCACAGUGUGCUGAACCGCUCGCCCCCAGAGCUGGUCGCCGAGAUUGUGCUGGUCGACGACUUCAGUGAUCGAGAGCACCUGAAGAAGCCUCUUGAAGACUACAUGGCCCUUUUCCCCAGUGUGAGGAUUCUUCGAACCAAGAAACGGGAAGGGCUGAUAAGGAC
rnacentral:sRNA from 1 species